GGCGCCCGAGCGGGCCGUAUUUCCCGCGGCAGCGCUCUGUUUACCAUGACUUCAUCAGUAAAUCUAGCGUUGCGCUUCGCCGGCGUGCAUUCGAGAAAACUACCGAUUACAUCAGCGGAAAGCCCUGUUUUUUGCCGUCAUUUUGACACUGGUGACAAAAUGGGAAAAUGAAAUUUAGGUGGUCAAAUUGAUGUUUAAAGAUCGACAAAUCGUUAAAAAUGGACGUUUAGCCCCCCGAAAAUAAAAUUUUCCCGAUGUCCCUGGCACCAUUUUAAAGCUCGGAAUCUGCGCUUUCGAAUGGUGCUACUUUCAUUCUGAUGCGGUCUAUGACGGCGAGGCGCAAGCGCACUAAAGUCAGGGUGAUUUCGCAAUAGCGAGAGGGACAAAAUGGCCGCGUUUCGGCGACCCGGGCGCUCGGCUCACGACGCGCCGUUUUCAUCGGCAAAUUUCUGGCGUUUGCAACAUUUUACAACCUAAAUAAAUACACCACAGGAAAGGGGAAGUUAUAUCCUUUAUUUUUAUGGGUAACUUUGCUACUAGGAGCGAAUGAUUUUUGCACCGCGAGUGUGGGAAGAUGCUAGAAAAUUGUACCGACACCAUGCGGUAGACGAUUUUCCUGGUAGCGUUGGAAUACCUACUCUGAUUGCAUUUUUGGAC